GUUAGAUGUAGCAUAGAUAGAUGCAUGGUUUUGCAAUGACAGUGAGCAUAUAUAUGUUUGUGUACAAGACAUGCACAAGUCCGUGGCGUUUGGAAGCCAAGCAUAUAUGCUGUACUUAGGAAAGACAAUGUGAAGGAGGUUUUGUUUUACUAAAUUCAUUGCCUGAGUAGAUGUUCUCAUCAAUCUUGACAGGGUUAAAUUUGUGCCCGUUUUGUUGUUUCAGUUUAGUAGUGGGUCCACUAGUUGUGUUAGUAGUAGAUUUUGCUUCAAUGCGGUGUAAGCAUGAUUUUGUUAACGGUAAACUAUUUUGUUGUAGUGCAAUGGAUCGAAGCUGGAUACAAGGAACGCGUUUCACACCACCAUACAUGAAAGGUGUCGAAGAGUUUAUGGGUCUCGUUCGCCAAAAUUUUAGGGAAAAUCAGGACAUAUUGUGCCCAUGCAAGGACUGUCUGAAUGUGGAACACCGCAGCCAGGCUGAAGUAGAGGAGCACAUACUAUGCAAUGGUAUGUCCGUUACAUAUACAAGGUGGGUCUUUCAUGGUGAAGCGGUGAGUGACGAUGAAGGUGAUAAUACAGACGGUGCUGCAUAUCAAUCAGAUGAUGAUGAUGACCGUGAUGUAGCCAACAGAGGUGAUGUUGCGUAUAUGGUAGAUGAUAUGUUCAUGUCUGGAAGGCAAGGCAAGGAUAAGCCUAACCUCUUUUCCAAGCUAAUGGAUGAAGCGAAGAAAGAUCUUUAUGAAGGAUGUAGUGAUUUCACACGCCUGUCGUUCAUUAUUAAGCUCCUCCAUAUCAAAUCAUACAACCGGAUUACAAAUAGAGCAUUUAAUCAGUUUGCUGAGCUGAUUAGUGUGGCGUUUCCACAUGCUGAUAUACCUAAAUCAUACACUGAAGCUAAGAAUGUUCUUAGUGAAGUCGGGCUGGGUUACGAGACAAUUCAUGUUUGCAAGUUUGAUUGUGCAUUGUUUUGGGGCCAACAUGCCAACAAUAGCCAUUGUCCUGAAUGCGGGACAUCAAGAUGGAAAGACGAGGUGGGGAGGAAAAAGAUACCUCACAAGGUACUUAGGUACUUUCCUAUCAUCCCAAGGCUUCAAAGAUUUUUUGUGUCAAAGGAACAAUCAGCAGAUGCAAGGUGGCAUAAGGAGAAGAGGGUUGCUGAGGCAAAUGUUAUGAGACACCCUGCUGAUGGUGAAGCAUGGAAGCAUUUUGAUAGUGUGUUCGGUUGGUUUGCUAAGGAUGCCCGUAAUAUGAAGCUUGGUAUUGCCACGGAUGGAUUCAACCCCUUUGGAAACAUGACGAGUUCAUAUAGUAUGUGGCCUGUUUUUAUCAUCCCCUACAACUUCCCACCCUGGAUGUGCAUGGACCAAUCUAAUUUCAUGAUGUCUUUGCUUAUUCCCGGGAGAAAAGCACCUGGAAAGGAGUUCCAUGUAUUUAUGCAACCGCUGAUUGUAGAUAUGAUGAAACUUUGGGUAACUGGUGUGGAAACAUAUGAUGCAUUGACGGGGGAACCAUUUAAUUUGCAUGCGGCAUUCUUGUGGUCGAUUCAUGAUUACCCUGGACUGGCCACUUUAUCGGGCCGUAGCACAAGAGGUUAUCAUGCAUGUGUGCACUGUGAUGUGGAGCCUUGCUCUGAGCCAUUGAAAAAUAAAAUUGGGUUUGUUGGGCACCGAAGAUUUCUGCCUACUAAUCAUCCUUACAGAAGAAGCAAACUUUUCAAUGGGAAGACUGAGAAUAGAGGGAAACCCCAGAAGUUUUUUCAGUUCCUGCAAAAGGUUUUGGGUCAUCCAAACUCCAUUGUUAUCCAACUGAGUAUGACCAAAUGGUUUGGUAUGUGCUUACUAAUUGUCCUGAAGUAGAGGAGUACAUGGAGGUUUGUCGAGAAGAAAUACGAAGGAGAGGUGUCAUUAACAUUGAGCACACACUUAAGAAAGAAUUCCCUACAUGGUUCGAAAAGCAUAUAUAUACUUUAGGAGAACAACAUGUUUCAGCGGAUUUGUACUCACUAGCAUGUGGGCCAAACAAGCGGAUAGUGGUAUACUCUGCCUGCAAUGUGAAUGGUGUUCGGUAUCACACCUUUGAUCGUGAAAAGAAAAGAAAAACUCAAAAUUCAGGAAUCAUGGUGAAGGAAAUUGUCAAUAAUGUAGAGACUCAGUACUAUGGUGUUCUAAAAGAAGUUCUGGAGUUGCGGUACCCCAAAAACAAGCAUGGAGAAAGGUCGAUCUUUUUGUUUCGUGGUGAUUGGUUUGAUCUCCAUGGCAAGGCGACCGGCAUGAAAGAUGAUGGUUACUUCAAAAGUCUUAAUGUUAAGGCGCUUCGAUACAAGAAGGAUCCUUUCAUCUUGGCUUCUCAAGCAGAACAAGUGUUCUACAUGGAGGACACAAAAUAUGGAAAGGACUGGAAUGUGGUGCAGACUUUCAGUCAUAGACAUUUGUACGAUGUCCCUGAACUGGAGACAGGCGAGCUCAAUGCUACAGAUGCAUACCAGGAAGAAAUGCCCUCGACAACUUCCACUGUGAAGGAUAUUGAUCAGUUGUUGGACACUUAUAGCCGUGAUGACGAAGAAGGCACGCCUGUUCAUGCUAGUAUUGUUUACGAUCUUCUGAAGGAUGACAACAACUAUGAUGAAGAUAGUGGUACUGAUGAUGAUGGACAGGAAGAUGGUGCAUUGAGUGAGAAUGAGCAUUCAAGUGAUGAUGACUAGAUCGUGUAAUGCAUAUUUGUACUUUACAAAAGUUUGGCUCUUUUGGGUUCUUUUUAUGUUCAUUUUCACGUAAUACAGUACAUACCAUGGUUCGGAUUUGACACAUACAUGACUAUCUAGAUAACUUUACUUUGACAUCCAACUGAUAGGUGUUUGCAAAACUGCACUAGUGAGCAUGGUUUUGAGAUUUGCUACA